rnacentral:rRNA from 1 species
GAUGAACGCUGGCGGCGUGCCUAAUACAUGCAAGUCGAGCGAACGGACGAGAAGCUUGCUUUUCUGAUGUUAGCGGCGGACGGGUGAGUAACACGUGGAUAACCUACCUAUAAGACUGGGAUAACUUCGGGAAACCGGAGCUAAUACCGGAUAAUAUUUUGAACCGCAUGGUUCAAAAGUGAAAGACGGUCUUGCUGUCACUUAUAGAUGGAUCCGCGCUGCAUUAGCUAGUUGGUAAGGUAACGGCUUACCAAGGCAACGAUGCAUAGCCGACCUGAGAGGGUGAACGGUCAGCGAAGGACCUAGACACGGUGCAGACUCCUACGGGAGGCAGCAGUAGGGAAUCUUCCGCAAUGGGCGAAAGCCUGACGGAGCAACGCCGCGUGAGUGAUGAAGGUCUUCGGAUCGUAAAACUCUGUUAUUAGGGAAGAACAUAUGUGUAAGUAACUGUGCACAUCUUGACGGUACCUAAUCAGAAAGCCACGGCUAACUACGUG